UAUCUCACCAGUUUGAGUAAAUGAGUGUUUAGGAAUUCUCUUAAGUUCCAAGCCAAUGACUUAGUUGAAUAUGUCAUAGAAUUUCAUUGGAUUGAACCAAAAAAUAAAAAAAAAAAAAAAAAAAAGUAAAUCAUCAGUGCCCCUAACCUUGGUUUUGAAAAGUUAGAAGUUUUCCCAUGAAAAAAAAAGAUAUUGAAUUAGAUUUUUUUAUUGCAUUUGCAAGUAAUACUUGAACUGCCACUUUUCUGUGUGCAGGCGCUCUAUUUUUGUGUUCCUUUUCGUGAACAAUUGCUUGUUAAUUAUGCAAAUAACAAAAAUCCUGGUGAUCCAGAAGAGAACCUUUUGACAUGUUUGGCAGAUUUGUUCACUCAGUGACGUCUGAGGAUAAAGAAAAUAGGGAAAAACUUUACGAGUUUAUAAAGGGAGUCAAUGAUCAAGAAGAAGUCUCUGGAGAAAAAUCGGGCGACUAAGUCGGACAAAAAUCGGUUCUGAUAUUGAUGCUUGAGGAAGCUUUGGGAUGUUGGAGUGGUUUUUCCUAAUAUUCUUCCUUUCUCUCUUCUUUAAGAUUUCUACACAACUUUUGAUGUCUGAAUUACAUGAGAUGUUAUAAAACCCUACUUUGCAG